UUAAUUCAACUUUAAUGGUUUAUAUAGAGUAGUGCAUGCCAAUUAGAGAGUCUUGUUUCCCGGACUGAAAAAAAUCCCGGGAUUCGGGAUUUUUAUUUUCCAAAUCCCGGGAUUUCCCGGGAUCCCGGGAAAAAUCUAAAUUUUCUAAAAAACGAUGAAAAAGUUAGUGGAACGAUUUCUUAAGCACUUUUAAUUAAAUUCGAUCAACUAAUAACCAUUAUAUUCGAAAGAAAAUACAUAUUUCAUAGACAUUUGAUUGUGUGAGGGCAGUUGGAGAUAUUCAAAGGUAUUUGAAAAUUUUCAAAUAAAGUUCAUCUUCUUCCGCAAUAGGUUAACUUGGGCUAUAGGUUAACUUCUGCCUUACUUAUCCGAAGGAAUUUUUUGACAGAACUUGAUGAUAUUUCUAGAGUAAUCCCUUAUAAUUUACCCUGAGACGUGAAUGAAUUCUGUGUGAGAAUUUUAUGACGGAGUUUAAAUGGCAGUGUUAGAAUGGUGAUUUGGAAAUUUCAAACGGCAAUUUCUUAAGAUAUUAUUUGUCCGCAUUUUGUUUUUUUUUUUUUCCUUUAAGGACAGACUUGUUAGAAUCCCAAAAUGGCCGCCACAAUGGCCGACUUUGACAACUACUCACGAUUUCGAGGGCACAAAUCUCUGCGUAAACAAAACCAUCGCACUUGAGCUUUUUAUUUUAAGCUAAUUACAAGUGAGCAAGAACAGAAUAAUAAAAUACAUUGUUGUUUGAAGCUUCCUUCUUGAGAUUUGUUCAUCUGAAGUUUUAAUGCAAUGUUGAAGCGGGAUUUUAAAACGUUUGUCCUUAAGAAGAUGUGUGGCUAUUUCAAUUAUUUGUGGAUAUACAUUCAUGUUAACAUUUCAGAAUUUUGAUUAGUUUUUUUUUUGGUGAAAUACAUUAAAGAAACUGUGGAAAAAAUCCAGAAUAAUUCAAGACAGAUCCUCUCAACAAACUGCCUGUUAAACUGAUAUGAAUAUCUUCAAAAAAAUCCUUAUAAAAUUCUUUCGAAAAUUUAUUUAUGAUUUCCAUUUCAACAUUUCUAUCCCGAAAGUCCAUUGAUUCUUUUUUUAUUUAUUUGGCAGGAUGACAAGGUAUUAAAUUAUAUUCUUCAAUUUUAUUGUAUGUAUGUUUCGCCUUUUUUUUUGCAAUUCGAUAUCGCUCUGUUUUUAACCAUAAAUCAUCACAGAAAUUUCUGCAGAAGAUUAAAAAAACGGUGUGAUGUUCCUUCUUGUAAAUAAAUUACUGAUUUCUCUUAGAAAUUUCGUCAAAAUUAUCACUUGUAUUAUCUCUAGUGAUUGUUGAAAUGAGCUCCGCAGAAAAUUUCGCCUGGACUUAAGAACAAAAUGUCGCAACGAAUAUCUUUACGAAAUCGUCAACAAAUAUUUCAAAGAUUGUCAAAGUCCUGAAUAGGGUAGGGAUUGUUUAUCCGUUUUCUUUUGAACCUUCUGCGAAUUUUCCUCAUAAUUUAAACGUUAAUGUGCAAGCAAUUGAUCAGGGCUGUUGAAUAUUAUAUAUCAACACAGUAGGGGGAUUCACUUAACAGCAUAAACUGAUUAAACUGAUUAAACGUCGUGAUCACCAAUGCAAUCCCGGGAUUUUUGUCCCGGGAAAUCCCGGGCAAGACUCUCUAAUGCCAAUAUAUGUGCGUUAUUUAUGCAACACGUACAGCUUCAACAGAGUUGUUUCUUGGGUAGUAUCAAUCAAACAGUUGACAUACAAUUAUCACUGCGACUUCGAAAAUGAUAGCUGCAAUCAUUAAUACGAUUCCAUAUAUAAUCGAUUUAUAAUCCUGUUUAUGAUAAUCCGAAUAAUAAGAAAAUCAUAACCUGCACAAUUGUUGUAUGAUUCCGUUUUAUUCGGGUGGUUAUUUUGAUUUGUCUAUUCUACUGUUGACAGCUGCUUAUUCUCAUGGAUUGAAGCUACUACACGUUCAACAAAUCAUCAUAUAGAUGACAUAAUGACGCAUUGAACUGGGCUCAUCAAUCACGAAGCGUAAUUUAAUACGGUUACACACCCGUGCAAUGAAAUUGAGAUACAAUAGCAAUAGAUGUAAUAGCAUUUUUAUAGUGAGCUACCGUAACGAAUUUGCGGAAGCAGCGCACCUAAAAGCAAUCGUGAAUGGGGCUUGACAGAGCCACUAUGGCCGGUUUCCAUACAAUCCGGCGGCCAAAAAUUUUUUUUUGAUUUCUUCUAUCGUUUAUGCGUAAAGUAACUCAUAUUAAAUUUUGAUGUUUUCACUUUAACCCUUUCCUUACCACGACUUUAAACGACUAUUUCUAUGCCAAGAAAGCGUUUCCGAAAAAAGUGCUUGAACAAAAGUUAUUGCAAACUGGCCAAAUUUUUCGAAAUCAACAUAAAAAAAUUAGUUGUAAAUCAAUAGUAUUUUGAUUGUUUGUCAAUAGUUCCACUAUUGAAACAAGUAGUUGGGAGUUGAGUUUACCUAAUAAGAUUACAAUCAUAUUUUAACAACUAUUGCAUCAUAUUCAUCUAAUUCCGUUUGUCUCCAGUUCAUCGAAAAUCGAUGGUGCUCUAUAGAGCAACCAUGGGAAGUAGAGGGUUAAAAAUAAUUUUCAAGACAAAUUUUUAAAAAUGACGUAUAUUGUGAUUUUUAUGAAAAUGUGUAUUUAAGCCACAUUCACGAUUAACGCUGCGGUUGUCAUAUUAAAAGCCGAAGUUCAAACAUUUACGUCAAUAUAAAUCAGUUGGGGGGUUGGAACUCUACAAAAGGAUGAUUAGUAGCCAAUAAAUGGUCAAAACUGUGGAUUUUUUUUAUUACCGUACGGGUUUGGGCCAAAGGGUCUCAGAUUUUCAUAAAACUUUUUCCACAGGCAGGGCUCAUGGAUAUAUGAACAAAAAAAAAAAAUUGAGGAAAAUUCAGGGUCGCCUAUUUUCCCGGAAUUUUUUUUGAUUUCCCCUGACACCACUUACUUUGAAAAAUCAUAACUCAAGAACGAAGCAUCGUAGAAACAAAGUUUUUUUUAGAAAGUGAAAGCAAAUUUUCUCAGAAAUCCAAAAAAAAAUAUGAACUGGAAAAAGUUUCCCACAAAAUUUUCCAUAGUUAAGAAAAUUCGUAAAGAAAAGCCGGGAAAACUAUGCCCGAACUCGUGGAAAAUUUUAGAAAAAAAUAUUUUUGGGUUGGUUAUUUAUAAGCUUUAAUCGCUGAAAUUUUUGGAAUGCACUUUUUUUCGUUUUUGAGUUAUGGCCAAAAGCCUUUUCUUUGAAAAAUCAUAACUCAAGAACGAAGCAUCGUAGAAACAAAGUUUUUUAAUGAAAAUGAUAGCAAAUUUUCUCAGGAAUAAAAAAAAAAUGAAAUGGAAAAGUUUUCCACAAAAUUUUUCACCGUUGAGAAAAUUCAUAAAGAAAAGCCGGUAAAGCUAUAUCUGAACUCGUGGAAAAUUAAAAAAAAUAUUUUUGAGAAGGUAAUUUCAUAAGCUUUGAUCGCUGAAAUUUUUGGAAUGCACUUAAUUUUCGUUCCUGAGUUAUGGCAAAUUUUGUGAAAAAUGACCAUAUUAUAUAGGCUUACAUGGUCCUUUUCACAUAAUUGACCAUAACUCAGUAGCGAGAAAAAAGUACAUUCCAAAAAUUUCAGCGAUCAAAGCUUAUAAAAUUACAUUCCAAAAAUAUUUUUUUGAAAAUUUUCCACGAGUUCAGACAUAGUUUUUCCGGCUUUUCUUUCUGAAUUUUCUCAACGGUGGAAAAUUUUGUGGAGAACUUUUUCCACUUCUACGAUGCUUCGUUCUUGAGUUAUGAUUUUUCAAAGAAAAGGCUUUUAUGGCACAUUUGGUCAUUCCUCAACAAAAUUUUCUAUAACUCAAAAACGAAAAAAAAGUGCAUUCCAAAAAUUUCAGUGAUUAAAGCUUAUGAAAUAACCUUCUCAAAAAUAUUUUUUCGAAAAUUUUCCACGAGUUCAGGCAUAGCUUUUCCGGCUUUUCUUUACGAAUUUUCUCAACAGUGGAAAAUUUUGUGGAAAACUUUUUCCAGUUCAUAUUUUUUAUGGAUUUCUGAGAAAAUUUGCUUUCAUUUUCUAAAAAAAGCUUUGUUUCUACGAUGCUUCGUUCUUGAGUUAUGAUUUUUCAAAAUAAGUAGUGUCAGGGGAAAACAAAAAAUUCCACCUGAGUUUUCCGGGAAAAUAGGCGACCCUGAAUUUUCCUCAAUUUUUUUUGUUCAUAUAUUCAUGAGCCCUGCCUGUGGAAAAAAUUUCAUGAAAAUCUGAGACCCUUCGGCCCAAUUUGUACGAUAAUAAAAAAAAGCCCAACUGAUAAAAACGCAGAAAAAAUAUGAGGUGCUCUAAAUAAAAAACAUGCAAAUAUGUGCUAAGCUAAACUAUUCAUGAACUGUUAUCAGCCUUAUGUAAGAAUGCUCCAAUAUCAACCUGGGACAACUUGGGACAAAAACGUAUAUGAUGUUUAAAAUUUUUAAUAAAUUUCAUUAUUUUAUAUUUUCCAUGUAGCUGCUAUAUUUGAUGACUUCAAAAUACAAAUUUAUCACUUAUUUUUUUUAAGUAGCAUUUUCUAUCAACUUUCAGACAGUGUGCAAAGAUGUGGUCAAAUUUUUACACUGAUUUAGCAAAAUUCAUUGAUUAAGAAACCUAAUUGUUACUUCUGAAACAUUCUUUUUCUUGCAAAUUACGACUUUGACAAUGUAUACUAGUAUGGGACAAACAUCAAAUUCUCGCUCCAGUCGACUUUUUCGAUUCCAUUUAGGUCCCAUAUGAACUAAGCAAAAUUUCAGCGCAAACGGUGAAACUAUAAUUUAGCGCAAGCGGUUCAAAGUUUGCAUAGGAUUUACUAUGGGAAAAAUUACACUUUCAAAUAAAAAAUCCCAGAGGUCGCCUUUUGUCUCCUUAAUUCAAAUUGGUCAAUGUUUCUUGUAGAAAAAUCAUUUAUGAAACUUUCCUUCGAAGACCGCAAAACGAUUGGAUGCUUGUGGAAAAAGUUAUUGAUUUAUUACCGAUUAGUGAUCCAACGAACGGCUUUUUGUUUUGUUUUAUUAGCAGCACUGCAGCUGCUGCAUUGACUGCUGCUGUUUCUGGGGAUGGUGAUGCCUCCCGACUUCUUUUGGAAAUCUCUCAGUAAUUUCUUUGGAUUUGGCAAAUUUCUUCGUAUCCCCUUCAGCAAUUUCUUUUAUAAUUUAUUUGGUAAUAUGUUUGGAAUUCGACUAAGCACAUUUCACGCAUCCUUUGGAAAUUUCUUUGGCAAUACCGUUAGGAGUUUAUUUGUUUUUUUUUUUUAUUUUAUUGAAAAUGUUUUCUCGGGAGUUCCUCGCCAAUUUUUGGUAGUGUUUCAAGCAUUGUUUUGUUAAUGUCAGCAAUUCUAUUGAUAUUUGCUUUUUAAAAUUCUCCAAUUACUCUUCAGGCAAUUUCUUAGGGAAAUCUUUUAGUAGAGCUUUUGGUUAUUAAUUCAACAAUGACUAUGAAAACUUCCUCACAUUUUUUUUUAAAAGUCUUCGGCAAGCCAUUCUACUUUUUUUGGGACUUUCGUCGAUCGAAAACUCCUUCGGAAAUUCUUUCAUAAAUUGCUUCUAUAAUUUUUCUUUAGACAACUUCUUCAGUAAGUAUGUAAGGUAUUCCUGCAGCAGAUGAUUUCGGAAUAUCUUCGGCUAUUCCAGUGUUACUUGGAUUGAAAAAUUUAUUUGGGAUUUUCAUCAGUAAUUCCUUUAGAAAUUUUGGAAGCUUCAAUUAUAACUUUGAGAACUUCUUCGGUAAUUCCUUUGGAAAUCGAUAUGACGAAUUUUCUUCAGAAAUUCCUUUGAUGCUGUCGGAAAAUUCUUCAAGAAUUUCUUAGAAUUUUUUUUUCGUGAAUGUGGAAAUUUUUAUAGAAUAUAUUUUGGCAAUUUAUUUUGAGAUUGGGUUUGGCCAAUUUCUUUAAAAAGCCUUAAUAUUUUCUUCCGGAAUUCCUCUGGUAAUUUUUCUGGCAAUCGCUUUGGGAAUUUGUCAGGAUGGUUUUCGUGAAUUUCAUAGGGGUUUCUUUGAGCAAGUCCAGUUGAGAAUUGCUGAAUUUCCAGUUCAGCAAUUUUCAGAAGCAAUAUAUAUAUAUAUAUAUAAUCACAAUUAAAUCAUACAGUAAUCAUGGUAAAAUUGCUUGAGAAAAUUGCAAAACAACUGAAAAAGAAAUUGCUGAAAAUUUUCAGAGGAAUAGCCAUUGAAGUUAUAGAAAAACAAUCCAAAGAAAUUGCUGAUUAAAAACUACCACAGAAAUUAAAAAAAAAACAACCUUGCCGAAGGAGCCCUCUAAGAAAUUGCCAUACUGUGGUCUAGCGAAUACGGAGUCGUGUGUUCAAAUCCCACCAGAAAGCGUUUUUUUUACAAAUUCAUCUCUCAAUUUGUCAACUAGCAACAUUCGGUGCCUUCUAAUCAAUUAGUUUUUACCGUUUAUUCCUAUGGGAUAUCACUAGAGAUUUGUCUAGUAAUACCUCCUAGGAUUUCUCUGAAAAUUCCAACUAUUCUCAAAAUUCGUUAAGGAAUUCCUACAGAGAUUUCUAUUGGGAUUCCAUCAGCUGGAAUUCUUUGAAGAAUGCCAAGUAGGCCUGUCCAGCUUUUCAAAAAUGUUCUCUGAUUCUCAAGUCCACCCCCAUAUUUUGAUUGGCAUCCUAUAAGAAGUAACUGGUCAAAAUUUCAGCCAAAUCCAUUGAAAUUAAGAGGUGCAUCAAAUCAAUUUUGUGUUUUUAGACUAUUUUUGAACUUCAAAAAAUCAUAACUACACUAAAAGUUGUCAAAACUUAAUUCUUUUAGCAGAAAUUGAAACCUAUACUUGUUUGCUACAACUUCUUCGAACAACGUGUGCCAAUAAAAUUGAAGGAAACAUGUGUAAUUAUCACAUUUGUGAUCAGAAAAACCUUAAAAAGUUGAUUUUUUGAUAGAUUUCGUUCUGGAACACCCUAAUAUACGUAAUAAGUUGGAUUUUUCAAAACGGCAUCAUAUUCUCCAAUGUUUUGUGGUUAUUUGCUUCCUUGACACCAAAGCUGUAGGAGUAGAGCAAAAAUUACUAAAAUUCGUGAAAGCCAAAUGUGGCCCAAAAACUAGCUUUUUGGAUGCAAUCACGCUGUGGCGCGAAAUUGUACUGAACGUAGUAGCUUUGCUUCCUUGUAGUUUGCCUUGGCUACCCCCUAUCACGGGUGAUAACAAACAAGCGUGAUGACAGGUGUUGGCUAUCAUAUCAGUGGUGACGCGAUGCCACUUUUUGCGCACCAAAACGUGAUUGCACCCGAAAAGCUAGUUUUUAGGCCACAUUUGGCUUUCACGAAUUUUAGUAAUUUUUGCUCUACUCCUACAGCUUUGGUGUCAAGGAAGCAAAUAACCACAAAACAGUGGAGAAUAUGAUGCCGCUUUGAAAAAUUCAACUUAUUACGUAUAUUAGGGUGUUCCAGAACGAAAUCUAUCAAAAAAUCUACUUUUUAAGGUUUUUCUGAUCACAAAUGUGAUAAUUACACAUGUUUCCUUCAAUUUUAUUGGCACACGUUGUUCGGAGAAGUUGUAGCAAACAAGUAUAGCUUUCAAUUUCUGUCAAAAGAAUUAAGUUUUGACAAGUUUUAGUGUAGUUAUGAUUUUUUGAAGUUCAAAAAUAGUCGAAAAACACAAAAUUGAUUUGAUGCACCUUUUAAUUUCAAUGGAUUUGGCUGAAAUUUUGACCAGUUACUUCUUCUAGGAUGCCAAUCAAAAUAUGGGGGUGGACUUGAGAAUCAGAGAAAAUUUUUGAAAAGCUGGACAGGCCUAAUGCCAAGAGGAGUUCCAGAAGUAAUACAGGCAUACCUCGAUAGUACGUACACCACCGCUUCGUUUAGUGUACGUACUAUCGAAACGUACGUACUAUCGAAUCACAAAUUUUUAUUCCAAAUUUCAUUUCCAAAUCAAAGAAUGUUAUUUCUAGAACGUCAGGAUUGCCAAAAAAUUACGUGUGUCCUAAGGGUCCGUUUAUUAAUUACGAAAUUUUGCUUGUUUAGGAUCCUAUCUUUAUUGAAAAAAUCUCCUUGUGCUCUGGGAAUGCUUCGUAGAGGCUUCUCGUCUCUGGAAAGUUAUAUUGAUUUGAUAUUUGAAUUAUCUUUUGAACCAUCCAAACUGAUCUAGAUAUAAUAGGAUAUAAUUAAAUCGAUCUAGAUCAGUUAUAUCUUGUUAUAGAAACAUUGUUACCGGCAACACUGUUCACCGCGAAACGGAGGUGAAACCACUGUCGGCUCCCUCGCGACUAAGCGGAUCCGCCGAAUUAAAUGACAGAUCGACAUCGACGUCAGACAGAACGGAAUGCACGACGUCAGUGGAAAACGAAAACAGAUUGUGAGUCAGCAGUUUGUAAAUGCCUUUGAGGCCGAAGAAAUAGUUAAUACAUUAUCACGAAUAAUUCAGUGAAUUAGAUAGAUUAUCAUACAGAAAAAAUCUCAGUAGGAUUUGAGAAAUUUACCACGCAGUAAGUGGUGACCAGAAUUGUGAAUUAAGGUAUAACUGCAUUGAACUGUGAAUCUAUUGUUUUACUGAUUAUAACCUUAAAGAAACGUGUGAAUAAGUUGAAACAAUUACUGUGUUAUUUGCGCAUACAGAACAGUCUUUCUACGGUGGAACAGUUAGGGACAGAAGUUAACGAAUAAUCCGAACAACAACACUGAAAAUGUAAGUUGAUAUUGUAUACUGUGACUGUUAUAUUACUAAUAAUGAAUUCAAUAUACUACAGCUUUGAAGCUGCUAAUUUGGCAACUACAAAACGGUGUUUGUUCUGACGA